rnacentral:rRNA from 1 species
GGAUGAGAUCAUACCAGCACUAAAGCACCGGAUCCCAUCAGAACUCCGAAGUUAAGCGUGCUUGGGCGAGAGUAGUACUAGGAUGGGUGACCUCCUGGGAAGUCCUCGUGUUGCAUUCC